UACGUAGGGGGCAAGCGUUGUCCGGAUUCAUUGGGCGUAAAGAGCGUGUAGGCGGCCAGGUAGGUCGGUUGUGAAAACUGGAGGCUACAACCUUCAGACGUCGACCGAAACCAUCUGGCUAGAGUCCGGGAGAGGAGAGGUGGAAUUCCGUGGAUGUAGCGGUGAAAUGCGCAGAUAUCAGGAAGAACACCCGUGGCGAAAGCGGCUCUCUGGAACGGUACUGACGCUGAGACGCGAAAGCGUGGGGAGCGAAACAGG
rnacentral:rRNA from 1 species